rnacentral:rRNA from 1 species
UAUUCUAAGGGCUUGAGAGAACUCAGGAGAAGGAACUCGGCAAAUUGACACCGUAACUUCGGAAGAAGGUGUGCCCUAUUAGUGUGUAGUGAACAACGAAGCAUGAAUGGGUUGCAAAAAAUCGGUGGCUGCGACUGUUUAUUAAAAACACAGCACUCUGCAAACACGAAAGUGGACGUAUAGGGUGUGACGCCUGCCCGGUGCUGGAAGAUUAAAUGAUGGGGUGCAAGCUCUUGAUUGAAGUCCCAGUAAACGGCGGCCGUAACAAUAACGGUCCUAAGGUAGCGAAAUUCCUUGUCGGGUAAGUUCCGACCUGCACGAAUGGCGUAACGAUGGCCACACUGUCUCCUCCUGAGACUCAGCGAAGUUGAAAUGUUUGUGAUGAUGCAAUCUCCCCGCGGAAAGACGGAAAGACCCCAUGAACCUUUACUGUAGCUUUGUAUUGGACUUUGAACAGAUCUGUGUAGGAUAGGUGGGAGGCUUUGAAGCAGGGUCGCUAGAUCUUGUGGAGCCAACGUUGAAAUACCACCCUGGUGUGUUUGAGGUUCUAACCUAGGUCCAUUAUCUGGAUCGGGGACAGUGCAUGGUAGGCAGUUUGACUGGGGCGGUCUCCUCCCAAAGCGUAACGGAGGAGUUCGAAGGUACGCUAGUUACGGUCGGACAUCGUGACGAUAGUGCAAUGGCAUAAGCGUGCUUAACUGCGAGACUGACAAGUCGAGCAGAUGCGAAAGCAGGACAUAGUGAUCCGGUGGCUCUGUAUGGAAGGGCCAUCGCUCAACGGAUAAAAGGUACUCUGGGGAUAACAGGCUGAUACCGCCCAAGAGUUCAUAUCGACGGCGGUGUUUGGCACCUCGAUGUCGGCUCAUCUCAUCCUGGGGCUGUAGCCGGUCCCAAGGGUAUGGCUGUUCGCCAUUUAAAGAGGUACGUGAGCUGGGUUUAAAACGUCGUGAGACAGUUUGGUCCCUAUCUUCCGUGGGCGCUGCAGAUUUGAGGAAGCCUGCUCCUAGUACGAGAGGACCGGAGUGGACACACCUCUGGUGUAUCGGUUGUCACGCCAGUGGCAUUGCCGAGUAGCUAAGUGUGGAAGAGAUAACCGCUGAAAGCAUCUAAGCGGGAAACUCGUUUCAAGAUGAGAUCUGCCGGGGCCUUGAGCCCCCUAAAGAGUCGUUCAAGACCAGGACGUUGAUAGGUCAGGUGUGGAAGCG